ACAUGCCUACAAUAUAGCGUUAAUGCACUAGAUCCCAUUAGAUCUCCGCAGUUAAGCAUGCUCAGCCUAGAGUAGUAUUGGGAUAGGUGACCGCUCUGGAAGUCAAAAUUGAAAAUUG
rnacentral:rRNA from 1 species